CGAUGGGCUGCCCAAACUUGCAAGUUCGAAGCGGACAGAAGGGGAAGCUUGCUCCCGGAUGUUAGCGGCGGACGGGUUGAGUAACACGUUGGGUAACCUGCCUGUAAGACUGGGAUAACUCCGGGAAACCGGAGCUAAUACCGGAUAGUUCCUUGAACCGCAUGGUUCAAGGAUGAAAGACGGUUUCGGCUGUCACUUACAGAUGGACCCGCGGCGCAUUAGCUAGUUGGUGGGGUAAUGGCUCACCAAGGCGACGAUGCGUAGCCGACCUGAGAGGGUGAUCGGCCACACUGGGACUGAGACACGGCCCAGACUCCUACGGGAGGCAGCAGUAGGGAAUCUUCCGCAAUGGACGAAAGUCUGACGGAGCAACGCCGCGUGAGUGAUGAAGGUUUUCGGAUCGUAAAGCUCUGUUGUUAGGGAAGAACAAGUGCGAGAGUAACUGCUCGCACCUUGACGGUACCUAACCAGAAAGCCACGGCUAACUACGUGCCAGCAGCCGCGGUAAUACGUAGGUGGCAAGCGUUGUCUGGAAUUAUUGGUCGUAAAGGGCUCGCAGGCGGUUUCUUAAGUCUGAUGUGAAAGCCCCCGGCUCAACCGGGGAGGGUCAUUGGAAACUGGGAAACUUGAGUGCAGAAGAGGAGAGUGGAAUUCCACGUGUAGCGGUGAAAUGCGUAGAGAUGUGGAGGAACACCAGUGGCGAAGGCGACUCUCUGGUCUGUAACUGACGCUGAGGAGCGAAAGCGUGGGGAGCGAACAGGAUUAGAUACCCGUGGUAGUCCACGCCGUAAACGAUGAGUGCUAAGUGUUAGGGGGUUUCCCGCCCCUUAGUGCUGCAGCUAACGCAUUAAGCACUCCGCCUGGGGAGUACGGUCGCAGGACUGAAACUCAAAGGAAUUGACGGGGGCCCGCACAAGCGGUGGAGCAUGUGGUUUAAUUCGAAGCAACGCGAAGAACCUUACCAGGUCUUGACAUCCUCUGACAACCCUAGAGAUAGGGCUUUCCCUUCGGGGACAGAGUGACAGGUGGUGCAUGGUUGUCGUCAGCUCGUGUCGUGAGAUGUUGGGUUAAGUCCCGCAACGAGCGCAACCCUUGAUCUUAGUUGCCAGCAUUCAGUUGGGCACUCUAAGGUGACUGCCGGUGACAAACCGGAGGAAGGUGGGGAUGACGUCAAAUCAUCAUGCCCCUUAUGACCUGGGCUACACACGUGCUACAAUGGACAGAACAAAGGGCUGCAAGACCGCAAGGUUUAGCCAAUCCCAUAAAUCUGUUCUCAGUUCGGAUCGCAGUCUGCAACUCGACUGCGUGAAGCUGGAAUCGCUAGUAAUCGCGGAUCAGCAUGCCGCGGUGAAUACGUUCCCGGGCCUUGUACACACCGCCCGUCACACCACGAGAGUUUGCAACAACCCGAAAGUCGGUGGAGGUAACCUUUAGGAGCCAGCCGCCGAAAGUAACAUU
rnacentral:rRNA from 1 species